rnacentral:rRNA from 1 species
AGUGAACGCUGGCGGCGUGCCUAAUACAUGCAAGUCGAACGGAGUGGCGCACGGGUUAGUAAUGUAUAGCUAAUCUGCCCUGCACUAGAGGAAAACAGUUGGAAACGACUGCUAAUACUCUAUAGUGUAGGAUGAGGCUAUAUUGUAUCAGAUAGUUGGUGAGGUAAUGUCUCAACAAGGCUAUGACGCAUAACUGGGCUGAGGGGAUGAUCAGUCACACUGUAUCGGAGACACGGUCCAGACUCCUUCGGCAUGCAGCAGUAGGGCAUAUUGCCCAGUGGGGGGAACCCUGAAGCAUCUUCGGCGCUUGGAGGAUGGCACUUGUCGUAGCGUACACUCCUUUUGUUAUGGAAGCGGUACCUAACGAAUAAGCAACGGCUAACUCCGUGCCAGCAGCCGAGGUAAUAC